GAGCGGCGUACGGGUGCGUAACACGUGUGCAACCUACCUUUAUCAGGGGAAUAGCCUUUCGAAAGGAAGAUUAAUACUCCAUAAUAUAUUGAUUGGCAUCAAUUAAUAUUGAAAACUCCGGUGGAUAGAGAUGGGCACGCGCAAGAUUAGAUAGUUGGUGAGGUAACGGCUCACCAAGUCAAUGAUCUUUAGGGGUCCUGAGAGGGAGAUCCCCCACACUGGUACUGAGACACGGACCAGACUCCUACGGGAGGCAGCAGUGAGGAAUAUUGGACAAUGGGUGAGAGCCUGAUCCAGCCAUCCCGCGUGAAGGAUGACGGUCCUACGGAUUGUAAACUUCUUUUGUACAGGAAUAAACCUAGAUACGUGUAUUUAGCUGAAGGUACUGUACGAAUAAGCACCGGCUAACUCCGUGCCAGCAGCCGCGGUAAUACGGAGGGUGCAAGCGUUAUCCGGAUUUAUUGGGUUUAAAGGGUCCGUAGGCGGACCGAUAAGUCAGUGGUGAAAUCUCAUAGCUUAACUAUGAAACUGCCAUUGAUACUGUCGGUCUUGAGUAAAUUUGAAGUAGCUGGAAUAAGUAGUGUAGCGGUGAAA
rnacentral:rRNA from 1 species